UGUGCCUGCUUGAAAUUCAGAAAUUUAACAUAAAAAGCAAUCGGGCAAUGAAUUAGUGAUGUACUUCCAAAAGAUGCUUUGAUAAGUUAGAUUUACAAUAGCCUCCACUUCUUCAUAACGUGUGUAUGUGACGUUUGUUAAAUCUAGUUAAGAGAAGAACUCAACUUGUUCGAAUCACUCCUGUAGGGAACAACGUAUUAUGUUUCAACAAAAGAAAUCACUGUAUUACUGAAAAAUUAUUACACUAGGGUUUUUCAUAUCAAAAACUA
rnacentral:lncRNA from 1 species